GCAGAUUCUUGGCAGACUUCUGUUGUUUUUCUAGAGUUGUAGGCAAGUAGUUGGACAAAAAGCAAGAAGCUGAUCGAUGUUGCUGGCUUUGGAUUCUUUGUGAACAAAUGAGACAAGGCUGCAAAUUCAGAGGAUCCUCCCAGAAGAUAAGAUGGAUCAGGUCACCACCUUCUUUCUCUUCUUCCCUGCUUCACACCCUCAGACCCCGACUCUUGUCCGCUGAGAUCACUCUCCAAACCAAUCUUCCUUUACAAAGCCCUUGUUGCAGGCUAUGCCUUCUGAGGGGAACCCAGGCCAAGACACUAAAAUGACACACCAACAUGAAGACAUGAACACAAACGGCAAAGGGAUUUGUUGGAUUGCAUAUCUCUGUGAAUGGGACUCAAGAGAAGUUUGGGAAAUGCUGGACCAGAUGACCCUUGCAAUCAUGGUGCACAGAAUUAAAACCGUCAAGGUCCCCAUCCAUCUCUGCGAUGGAUGGGAAUCUGAGGCUUCCACAAGAUGCCCAAGGCUUGUUAAACCCGUGGAAUGUCUUUGGAUAUGUGUGACAUCAACAAAAAGCAGCAAACAAAACAAGAUCUUUUCACAAACAUUCAGAAAUCCCUAAAUCUUGUGAGUUGUCAUACCAUUUGUAGAUUUAAUUAUAAAAUGGCACAUGAUGCUGA